rnacentral:rRNA from 1 species
UACAGAGGGUGCGAGCGUUAAUCGGAAUUACUGGGCGUAAAGCGUGCGUAGACGGUUUUGUAAGUCGGAUGUGAAAUCCCCGGGCUCAACCUGGGAAUUGCAUUCGAGACUGCAAGGCUUGGGUGCGGAAGAGGGAAGCGGAAUUUCCGGUGUAGCGGUGAAAUGCGUAGAUAUCGGAAGGAACAUCAGUGGCGAAGGCGAGUCUCUGGACAGCAACUGACGCUGAGGCACGAAGGCCAGGGGAGCAAACGGG